ACCCUGCUGGCUCAGAUGGUAAAGCAUCUGCCUACAAUGCAGGAGACCCAGGUUCAAUCCCUGGGUUGGGAA
rnacentral:tRNA from 1 species